UACGUAGGGUGCGAGCGUUAAUCGGAAUUACUGGGCGUAAAGCGUGCGCAGGCGGUUAUAUAAGACAGAUGUGAAAUCCCCGGGCUCAACCUGGGACCUGCAUUUGUGACUGUAUAGCUAGAGUACGGUAGAGGGGGAUGGAAUUCCGCGUGUAGCAGUGAAAUGCGUAGAUAUGCGGAGGAACACCAGAGGCGAAGGCAGCAACUUGGCGCGGUAUUGACGCUCAGGCACGAAAGCAUGGGGAUCAAACAGG
rnacentral:rRNA from 1 species